rnacentral:rRNA from 1 species
UGGGGAAUAUUGGACAAUGGGCGAAAGCCUGAUCCAGCCAUGCCGUGUGUGUGAAGAAGGCCUUCGGGUUGUAAAGCACUUUAAGUUGGGAGGAAAGGUUGGUUGUGAAUAAUGACUAACUGUGACGUUACCGACAGAAUAAGCACCGGCAAACUCCGUGCCAGCAGCCGCGGUAAUACGGAGGGUGCGAGCGUUAAUCGGAAUUACUGGGCGUAAAGCGCACGUAGGCGGUUAUGUAAGUGGUAUGUGAAAUCCCCGGGCUUAACCUGGGACUUGCCUAUCAGACUGCAUGGCUAGAGUAUGGGAGAGGGAGGUGGAAUUUCCGGUGUAGCGGUGAAAUGCGUAGAGAUCGGAAGGAACAUCAGUGGCGAAGGCGGCCUCCUGGCCUAAUACUGACGCU